rnacentral:rRNA from 1 species
CAGUAGCCGCGGUAACACGAAGGGUGCAAGCGUUACUCGGAAUUACUGGGCGUAAAGCGUGCGUAGGUGGUGGUUUAAGUCCGUUGUGAAAGCCCGGGGCUCAACCUGGGAAUUGCAGUGGAUACUGGGUCACUAGAGUGUGUCAGAGGAUGGUGGAAUUCCCGGUGUAGCGGUGAAAUGCGUAGAGAUCGGGAGGAACAUCAGUGGCGAAGGCGGCCAUCUGGGACAACACUGACGCUGAGGCACGAAAGCGUGGGGAGCAAACAGGAUUAGAUACCCGCGUAGUCCCUGUCUCUUAUAC